UACAGAGGUCCCAAGCGUUGUUCGGAUUUACUGGGCGUAAAGGGUGCGUAGGUGGCGGGGUAAGUCUGGUGUGAAAGCUCCGAGCUCAACUCGGAAAAGCAUUGGAAACUAUCCCGCUGGAGGGUCGGAGGGGAGACUGGAAUUCUCGGUGUAGCAGUGAAAUGCGUAGAUAUCGAGAGGAACACCAGUGGCGAAGGCGAGUCUCUGGGCAAUAACUGACGCUGAGGAGCGAAAGCGUGGGGAGCGAACAGG
rnacentral:rRNA from 1 species